GGAGGAUCAUUAUCGUAGGGCUUCGGCCCUGUCGAGAUAGAACCCUUGCCUUUUUGAGUACCUUUCGUUUCCUCGGCAGGCUCGCCUGCCAAUGGGGACCACAAAAAACACUUUGCAGUACCUGUAACAGUCUGAACAAACAAAACAAAAAUUAAAACUUUCAACAACGGAUCUCUUGGUUCUGGCAUCGAUGAAGAACGCAGCGAAAUGCGAUAAGUAGUGUGAAUUGCAGAAUUCAGUGAAUCAUCGAAUCUUUGAACGCACAUUGCGCCCUUUGGUAUUCCUUAGGGCAUGCCUGUUCGAGCGUCAUUUAAACCUUCAAGCUAAGCUUGGCGUUGGGUGACUGUCCGCUUCACUGCGGACUCGCCUCAAAAUUAUUGGCGGCCGGUACAUUGGCUUCGAGCGCAGCAGAAACGCGAACUCGGGCCCGUCGUAUUGGCUCCCAGAAGCUAUCUUCACAAUUUUGACCUCGGAUCAGGUAGGGAUACCCGCUGAACUUAAGCAUAUCAAUAAGCGGAGGA
rnacentral:rRNA from 1 species